CCUACGGGAGGCAGCAGUGAGGAAUAUUGGUCAAUGGACGGAAGACUGAACCAGCCAUGCCGCGUGCAGGAAGACGGCUCUAUGAGUUGUAAACUGCUUUUGUACAAGGGUAAACCUGAAUACGUGUAUUCAGCUGAAAGUACUGUAUGAAUAAGGAUCGGCUAACUCCGUGCCAGCAGCCGCGGUAAUACGGAGGAUCCAAGCGUUAUCCGGAUUUAUUGGGUUUAAAGGGUGCGUAGGCGGAUUGAUAAGUGAGAGGUGAAAUGCCCGAGCUUAACUCGGGAACUGCCUCUAAUACUGUUGAUCUAGAGAGUAGAUGCGGUAGGCGGAAUGUGUGGUGUAGCGGUGAAAUGCUUAGAGAUCAUGCAGAACACCGAUUGCGAAGGCAGCUUACCAAUCUAUAUCUGACGUUGAGGCACGAAAGCGUGGGGAGCGAACAGGAUUAGAUACCCCUGUAGUC
rnacentral:rRNA from 1 species